CAAACUCCAGCCCCCGCCCCCCCCCCCGCACCCUCUCUCUCGUCCGGGAUCCCGACCUCCCCCCCACACCUUGGUCCUGCCCCCCCCCCCCCGGGCCAGCGGAGGCGGGCCUGCGAUGACGCCUCCCCCGUGGAGCGCCCUGAUUUGACCGCCCCCCCUCCCCUCCCCCCCGCCGCGUGCCGGGGGGCGCGCCGUGCCCGCCCCCCCCAAUGCUGAGCUCAGUGUGCGUCUCCUCCUUCCGCGGGCGCAAGCCGGGCAGCCAGGCGCCAGCCAAGUCAUGCGCCAGGGGGGACAUGGGCCGGCACGAGGACAGCGAGAAGAUCGUGAUUAACGUGGGGGGGGUGCGGCACGAAACCUACCGCAGCACCCUGCAGACCCUGCCCGGCACCCGCCUGGCCUGGCUCACCGAGCCCGACGCCUGCAGCAACUUCGACUACGACCCGGCCGCCGACGAGUUCUUCUUCGACCGCCACCCGCAGGUCUUCGCCUACGUCCUCAACUACUACCGCACGGGCAAGCUGCACUGCCCGGCCGACGUGUGCGGCCCGCUCUUCGAGGAGGAGCUGGCCUUCUGGGGCAUCGACGAGACCGACGUGGAGGCCUGCUGCUGGAUGAAUUACCGCCAGCACCGGGACGCCGAGGAGGCGCUGGACAGCUUCGAGGCCCCCGAGGCCCAGGAGGAGGAGGACGCCGCCGGGGACCUCAAGCGGCUCUGCCUGCAGGAGGACGGGCGCCAGGCCGGCUGGUGGCGCCGCUGGCAGCCCAAGGUCUGGGCGCUCUUUGAGGACCCGUACUCCUCCAAGAUGGCCAGGUACGUGGCCUUCGCCUCCCUCUUCUUCAUCCUCCUCUCCAUCACCACCUUCUGCCUGGAGACACACGAGGCCUUCAACCGCGUCAUCAACAAGACGGAGACGGUGGCGGUGGCCAACGGGACGGCCACCCAGGUGGCGGUGGAGGUGGAGACGGAGCCGUUCCUCACCUACGUGGAGGGGGCCUGCGUGAUCUGGUUCACCUUCGAGUUCCUCAUGCGGGUCUGCUUCUGCCCGGACAAGCUGGAGUUCGUCAAGAGCAGCCUCAACAUCAUCGAUUUUGUGGCCAUCCUGCCCUUCUACCUGGAGGUGGGCUUGCGGGGCCUCUCCUCCAAGGCGGCCAAGGACGUGCUGGGCUUCCUCCGGGUGGUGCGUUUCGUGCGGAUCCUGAGGAUCUUCAAGCUGACCCGGCACUUCGUGGGGCUGCGGGUGCUGGGCCACACGCUCCGGGCCAGCACCAACGAGUUCCUGCUGCUCAUCAUCUUCCUGGCCUUGGGCGUCUUGAUCUUCGCCACCAUGAUCUACUAUGCCGAGCGCAUCGGGGCCGACCCGGACGACAUCACGGGCAGCAAGCACACCGACUUCAAGAACAUCCCCAUCGGGUUCUGGUGGGCCGUGGUGACCAUGACCACCCUGGGCUACGGAGACAUGUACCCCAUGACCUGGUCGGGCAUGCUGGUGGGGGCGCUGUGCGCCCUGGCCGGGGUGCUGACCAUCGCCAUGCCCGUGCCCGUCAUCGUCAACAACUUCGGCAUGUAUUACUCCCUGGCCAUGGCCAAGCAGAAGCUGCCCAAGAAGAAGAACAAGCACAUCCCCCGGGCGCCCCAGCCCGGCUCGCCCAACUACUGCAAGCCCGAGGGAGCCCCCGGCCCCCGGCCCGGCCCCCCCGCCGCCGACGCCUGCCCCCUGGCCCAGGAGGAGAUCAUCGAGAUCAACCGGGCAGACUCCAAGCAGAACGGGGACGCGGCGAAAGCGGCGCUGGCCCACGAGGACUGUCCCACCAUCGACCAGGCCCUGUCCCCCGAGGAGAAGUCGCCCGCCACCCCCGCGGCCCGCGAGCAUUACAGCCACGACCGCGCCUGCUUCCUGCUGACGGCCGGCGAGUUCGGGCCGGCGCCCGACGGCAACCUCCGCAAAGCCGCGCUCCGCUUGCCGCCCCCGGACGCCGCCCCCUGGUGCCUGCCUGGCGUCAAUGCCGCGCCCGCCUCCUGGAGCCAGCACUAGAAGGCAGGGCGUGCUGGGAACGGGGUUCGCCCAGUGCCCCUGUAAUGCCCCGGCUGCGUCAGCCAGGUUAUGAGAAGUCCCGGAGUCUGAACAGCAUCGCGGGGCUGCGCCUCUCGCCCGCCCCCAGCCCCCUGGGCUCGCCCGGCGCCCCCCGGCGCCCCCGCCCCCCGCUCCCCUCCAUCCUAUAGCCGGGGGCCCCGG